UACAGUAGGCGCGGCAAUGGUAGCCGGGUUGCCCGGCUUGAAAAGGGAAUCCCGUUAGAAGCGGGAGCGGACCCGCCGCCGUAAGGCUCGCCAACCUCGCACCACACAGCGCCACUGGAAACGGGAAGGCCGGUGAGAGGGAGCCAAGCCGGAAGACCUGCCUUGCCCCAUGCCCCGCCU
rnacentral:ncRNA from 2 species